AAUGAUUUAUUAAAUGGCCGCAGUAUUUUGACUGUGCAAAGGUAGCAUAAUCAUUAGUUUUUUGAUUGAAAGCUGGAAUGAAUGGUUUGAUGAGAAAUUAACUGUCUCAUGAUUAUUGAGUUAUAAUUUAAAUUUUAAGUGAAAAUGCUUAAAUAUUUUACAAGGACGAGAAGACCCUAUAGAGUUUUAUUUUUAAUGUUUAUGGAUUUGAGGAGGAUUGAAUAAUUGAAUUUAUAGGAUUAGGAAUUUUGUUGGGGUGAUGUGAAAAUUAGAUUAACUUUUUAUUUUAUUGAACAAUAAUUAUUGAUUUGAUGAUCCUAAAUUUUGGAUUAUAAGAUUUAAUUACCUUAGGGAUAACAGCGUAAUUUUUUUUGAAAGUUCUUAUUGGAAAAGAAGUUUGCGACCUCGAUGUUGGAUUAAAAUUAAUUUGCGGUGCAGUAGCUGCAAUAUUA
rnacentral:rRNA from 1 species